rnacentral:rRNA from 1 species
ACGGGUGAGUAACGCGUAGGAAUCUGCCUUAGAGAGGGGGAUAACCCGGGGAAACUCGGGCUAAUACCGCAUAAUCUCGAGAGAGCAAAGCUAGGUAGCAAUACCCGGCGCUUUAAGAGGAGCCUGCGUCCGAUUAGCUAGUUGGUGGGGUAAAGGCCUACCAAGGCGAUGAUCGGUAGCUGGUCUGAGAGGAUGACCAGCCACACUGGGACUGAGACACGGCCCAGACUCCUACGGGAGGCAGCAGUGGGGAAUAUUGGACAAUGGGGGCAACCCUGAUCCAGCAAUGCCGCGUGUGUGAAGAAGGCCUUCGGGUUGUAAAGCACUUUAGUUGGGGAGGAAGGUUAGUAGUUUAAGAGAUGACUAAUUUGACUGUACCCAAAGAAUAAGCACCGGCUAACUCUGUGCCAGCAGCCGCGGUAAUACAGAGGGUGCGAGCGUUAAUCGGAAUUACUGGGCGUAAAGGGCGCGUAGGCGGUCAUGUAAGUUAGAUGUGAAAUCCCUGGGCUUAACCUAGGAACUGCAUCUAAUACUGUAUGGCUAGAGUGCGGUAGAGGGUAGUGGAAUUUCCGGUGUA